rnacentral:ncRNA from 1 species
UUAAAGUUUGAUUUUUGCUUUUGUUUUAGUUAUUUUUAUAUGAUGCAUGUAAAUUUUUUCAAGAAAAAAUUUUCUAAAUGGAAUAAUAAUAAUAAUUUUCAGUGUCUUUUUUUCAUUUAUUAUAGUUUAAUUUGAGUAAUUAAAUUUAAAAUUGAAUAAUGUUGUGCCAGCAUUCGCGGUUAUACAUCAAAUUUAAGUUAAAAUUUUUGGUAUACAGUUUUUUUUUUUUAUUUUAUAUUUAGGUGAAAUUUAUAUAUUUUACUUAUAUUGGUCUGACUAGUCUGUGUUUUAAACCAGGAUUAGAUACCCUGUUAUUUUUGAAUAAAUUUUUUACUGCUUGGGGAGUAAAUUUUAUUUUAAAUUCAAUGGAUCUGGCGGUUUUUUAAGCUUUUUAGAGGAACCUGUAAUUUAAAUGAUAAUCCACGAUCUAUUUUACCUUGAUUUUCUUGUAUAUCUCUGUCGUUGAAUGUAGUGGAAACUUAUUUUCUUUUUUUUUUAAAAAAGUAUGUUAGGUCAAGGUGCAGUUAUAUUUAGGUUGUUAUGGGUUACAUUAAUUUUUUUUUCUUUGAUUAUUAUUUGGAACUUAUUUUGAAUUUGGAUUUAAAAGUAAUUUUUUUUUAUUAAAUAUUUUGAAUUUAGCUCUAAAUUAUGUACAUAUCGCCCGUCAUUCUCAUAAAUUGAGACAAGUCGUAACAAAGUAGGUGUAUCUGAAGAUGUAUCUAGAAACAG